rnacentral:rRNA from 1 species
CGGACGGGUGAGUAACACGUGGGUAACCUACCCAUCAGAGGGGGAUAACACUUGGAAACAGGUGCUAAUACCGCAUAAUGUCUGCGGACCAAAGCGGGGGACCUCCGGGCCUCGCGCCAUCAGAUGAACCCAUAUGGGAUUAGCUAGUAGGUAAGGUAACGGCUUACCUAGGCGACGAUCCCUAGCUGGUCUGAGAGGAUGAUCAGCCACACUGGGACUGAGACACGGCCCAG